CUGUAGUGUAUAAAGAGCGUUUGAUGGAUGCCUUGACACUGUUAGACGAUGAAGGACGUAGCAAUCUGCGAUAAGCUUCGGGGAGGUGAUAAGCAACCUUUGAUCCGGAGAUUUCCGAAUGGGGGAACCCCACCAGCAUUGUAGUUGGUGACCAUGUACUGAAUUCAUAGGUGCAUAGGAGUUAACCUGGGGAAGUGAAACAUCUCAGUACCCAGAGGAAAAUAAAAUACCAAACGCUGAUUUCACACGAAAGCCAUCUCGCCCGAUCUUCGGGUCGAGGCGGAUUGAGUUCGUGUGAAUUCCGCGUGUAUGAUUCCCCUAGUAGUGGCGAACGAACGGGGACAAAGUCCAAACUUAUAUUGUGUUUGUAUCGGGGACAAAGGAGUCUUUGACUUUUUUAGAGCUGAUACUUUAAAGGGUAGGCCGUUGCAAUAUAAGUGUAGUAAGAGAUAGGCUACAGUUUCCUAAUAAAACUGAUCCGAACUGUGUUAAUUAUAAUCGAAAACUCCUGGAACGGAGUACCAAAGACGGUGAUAGUCCGGUAGAUGAAAUAGUUAGCAAGUAGGAAGCCUGUGAUCUUGAGUACGGCGGGACACGAGAAAUCCCGUCGGAAGUAGUCGCGACUAUGCGAUAAGACUAAAUACUAACAGUGAUCGAUAGUGAACCAGUACCGCGAGGGAAAGGUGAAAAGUAGCCCGGUGAGGGCGGUGAAAUAGAUCCUGAAAUCAAACGCUUACAAUGAGCCGGAGUCACAACGCAAGUUGGCGAUGACGGUAUUCCUAUUGAAGAAUGAGCCUACGACUUACUAUUUGUGGCAAGGUUAAACCCCUCUAGGGUGGAGCCGCAGGGAAACCAAGUCUUAACGGGCGUUUAAGUCUCAAAU
rnacentral:rRNA from 1 species